UACGUAGGGGGCGAGCGUUGUCCGGAUUUACUGGGCGUAAAGCGCGUGUAGGCGGCCCGUUAAGUGGGGUGUGAAAGCCCGGGGCUCAACCCCGGGACGCCGCUUCAAACUGGCGGGCUUGAGGACGGAAGAGGGGAGUGGAAUUCCUGGUGUAGCGGUGAAAUGCGUAGAGAUCAGGAGGAACACCCGUGGCGAAGGCGACACGCUGGGCCGUACCUGACACUGAUGCGCGACAGCAUGGGGAGCAAACAGG
rnacentral:rRNA from 1 species